rnacentral:rRNA from 1 species
AAGUCCGCUAACGAGCGCAACCCCUUUGCUGUGUGUUACAUGUGUCACACGGGACUGCCGGUCUUAAACCGGAGGAAGGUGGGGAUGAUGUCAAGUCAGCAUGGCCUUUAUAUCCUGGGCUACACACACGCUACAAUGGCCGGUACAAUAGGUUGCGAAGCCGCGAGGCGGAGCCAAUCCUCAAAGCCGGCCUCAGUUCAGAUUGCAGGCUGCAACCCGCCUGCAUGAAGAUGGAGUUGCUAGUAACCGCAGGUCAGCAAUACUGCGGUGAAUACGUUCCCGGGGCUU